GCGGCGGAGGGGGGGCCGAGCUGCGCGGCGAUUGGUCGGGAGGGCGCGGAGCGCGCCGGGGGGGGGCGUGUCCCCGCCGCGCCGCCCCGGCGAUUGGCCGGCGGGGGGGCGCGGUGGGCGUGGCCGCCACCUCCCCCCCCCCCCCCGCUCGCCCCCCGCCCCCUCCCGCCCCGCCGCCUUGGUGCAGUGCUGAGGAGGCGCCAGGCGGGGGCCGCGCGCGCUUUUCCCGCCCUCGGCGGGGCCGCGGGACCCCCCUGAGGGCGCCGCUCCCUCACACCCGCCAUGGCGGCACCGCCGUCACCCCCGCACCGCUCGCGGCGCCCGGAGCUGCGCCACUCGGCAACGCGCGGCUGCCAAGUCUUGUCCCCGCACCCCGCUUCGCUCUCAGACCCGGCAGCGCCGCCCGCCGCGAGUGCGCGGAGUGCGGGACCGCUCUGGCGCUCCCCACACGACCAGCGCUUCGGCCCCUCUCCGUGCACGCACCCACCUGUGGGGCGCCCUCGGCCGCCUCCAUCAUCGCCCCGCUUAAAGCGCUUAAAUAUCCCCGCGGCGGCACCGCCUGUGUCACGGACCGGGGCUGCGAACGGCAGUGCGGCCCUCCCCGCCUCCCCCCCCCCGGCCCGCCCCGCUCCGCAUCUUGUUUUCUCCAUACGCACUUGGAAAUGCGUAUGGAGAAAAGCGGGACCGGGCGGGGGGCGCCGCUGUUAUCCCCGCUCUAAUCGGGAUACCCACGCAACACCGAGGAAAACAACGCGGCGCAGCCCCGUUCUUUCUCCCCCCCCACCACUCCGCGCUGUCACUUGGCUGUGCUUCCCCCAUGUCGCGACGCACACACCCCCCCCCCCGCCAUGUCGCGACAGCGCCCCGCGCACCUGCCGCGCCGCGUCCCCCCCGCCCCCGACCCGCCGCGUCUUACCGGGGGUGCGGGGAAAGCGACGUUCCGUUCUCCCUCCCCGGGGGAAGCAGCGCGAUGCCGGCGCUGCCCCAGAAAGGAAUAAGCGGGGAAUAACCGGCCGGGCAGGCACGGUGCGGAAGGAUGGACCCCGCUCCUGGAGGCUGCGGGAUCCGCUGCUCGUCUACGGCCGCGGCGGGUCUCCGUUGCUGGAAGAGGCAGAAAAACAACAACAACAACAAAAAAUCCAAAACAACAAAAAGAAAAAUAAAAAUAAAAUAAGGAGGAAAAACCCCUUGUUUGUGUCGGACCGAGGAGGAGCAGAUUCUGCCCGUGCGGGGUCGAUGCGGUGGUCGCCACCGCCGCGUUUAACUCCGCCACUCGGUAGCGAAGCGAUUCCACCGUCCCGACCCGUCGCACCGCCGGCUCCCGACAGCCGGCUCCGUGCCGAGCUGCUGCGAGGAGCCGCUCCUAGGGAUGUGCGCUGGCCGCUGCAACACUACCAGCAAGCAGCCAGCCCUCACAGGAAGGCGAAGGGAAGAUGCCGACAAUUCGGGCAGCCUCUGGUUCCCCGCGCAUCCCGCUGCCCGGCUGCAGCCGCCGGGGGUGCGGGGCCGGCCGGCGGCAGCGCCGCGUUCCUCCGGCUGCUGUUCCGCCUGCGGUGCUGAAGUGGGUUUUAUUCCCUGCUCUCCAGCAGCCCCCAGGAUUUGGGAUCAGGGAGCUGAAGCCCACUCGCUCCGCGGUCCCGCCGCCGGGCUGACAAUGCGCAGGGGGCUCUCGGGGUUUUCCCUCUGGGAGGUUCCUGUGGGAGGCCCCCAAAUUCUGCUCCCAAACCGGAGGCAUCAUGUCAGUGCUGGUGAUCAAGUGCAAGGCUUUAGAGGCUAGAUUGAGAAUGGAGACAUAGAUUUGUUGUUAAAAACUGAAGGAGGAAAAGAAAUCCCGCAUUCACUCCUUCCUUACAGCUUCCAGCAGCACCUCAGCAGUUGAAAAAAAACACGAUCCACAGAUGCAGUAAAUUUCAAGUUGGGGAUUUAAUUUCUUCGGUGUCCCACCACGUUUUCUUGAAGGAAGUCAUAUAAACGACUUUUUUCUAGCUGCUGGGUUGGUGCUGAUGGCUGUCAGCCACGGGAGGGGACCAGAGCUGCCCGGCCACCCAGCACAGGCCCAAUCCUGCAGUGACAAUGGAUCAUCUUCAGCUCUCCCAUUUGUGCUUUGGACUUGAAAUUCCUGUUCUCUGCCCCACUCAUUUCCAGUGCCCAUGCAAUGAGCUGUAUAUCGAGCAGAUCAGUGUUUCAGAUAUCUCUACUAUUAUUUUUUAUUUUUUAAUUUUUUUUUAGUUUUGUAAAAAUUACUAAUGAUUUUAGCUGAAAAGAGUUAAUGAAGUGAGGAGCAGUUCAUCCUCCUUUCCUUAAUUCUUCUCAGACUCUUCCCUUCGUCCACCCUCCACACUGUUUAUGUUUAUCUCUCCUUCCCAUCCAGUUUUGGGGGAAUUUCCUCUCUGGGCUCCUUUCUGCCUUUUAUCCAGACUGUCCCACUGCUGUGGAGCCUAACUAAAAUUUCCCUUGCUUCCCAUAUCUUGGGGCCUCAUUCCCCUGCCUCGCUAAGCCUCUUUUUAUUCCGCAUUCCCUUCUUCAGAUCGUGCUUAAAGGAGGAAGAGGCUGGAGCUGGGAUUUAAAGUAGUCUUUUAGGAGUACUGCCAGAACUGAUCUGUUUUACUCUGCUGCUGCUGCUGUUGAUGUUCUGCUGUGUCAUGGGAAGAGUUUCCUCUCCACACCAACCCUUGGAAGCGGCACCUCGGGCAGAGCUGCAAACCCCGUCCAUGUUUCACAAAGCCCCGGGUAAGGAUUGACACUGGAAGGGGAAGGCACUGCUGCCUUCCCGGGCUCUGACCUGCAGAGCUGUGCACGAUUUUGGGAGAUUUGCAGGAGGCAGAGUGGCGGCAGCAGCGGUGACAGCGCAUCAUCGCUCAGCUUUAUUUCAUUUUCUCGAGCCAAGACGCUUUAGGUUACAGCCCAGCAGAAAAGGAAAAUGAAGCAUUUCUGUCAAAAGAGAGCUAUUUCCCAAAUUUGCUUUAAAUUAUUGCAAGAUCUUGCACUAAAAAAGAGGAGAGAUUCUGUCUCCUCUUAAAAAAUGUUGUUAGUUAUAAAAUCUUUACGAUCUUGGCUCUCUCCCCCUCAGCCUGUCUCCUUCAAAAACUUGAUUUCAAAAAUGUGAAGUUUAAAGAUGACUCUUCUGCCUCUCUCUCUGUCCCCUCUCCUAAAUUUAUGUUCCUUGGAAAGGCCUGAAGAAGCCUGAGGCUGCAUCUGCCCAUGAAUAAACGCCGGCGUGCACAUACACGUGCAUAUCCAUGCACACACACAGGAUUUAAAGCGUCCCAUUGAAGUCCACAUAUAGGAAAAUCCUUGAUCAUGUGAUAGGCUUUAAUAUCUGCCUUAAAAUUAAUCCCUAACUGAUGGACUCUGUGUGGUGGCAGAUCACAGGAGGCUCAGUAGCUGGGGCUACUGAGUUUUUUAAAAAACUGCCAGAUAAAAUCCCCAGUUUGCUGCUGUAUUAAUUUGUUUGUUCACAGCAGCUACCUGGGAAAUGCUCAUCUAGUGAAACAAAGUAAGAAAACUUUAUAGGGCUCUGAUCUUGUUUUCUGCAGUUAAAAAGAAAGACCUUGUCAUGAGGUCAGGACAAGAUUUGAUGUUAUUACACAAGGAAAAGGCUGAAGUUGGCUGCACAGUUCUUCAGGUGCUCUGCUGGAGAUAACACUCCUGAAUUUUAUUGGAGUGUGAGUUUUGAAGAUGGUCCUGCUUAAUUCUCAGAGUUGUCUUCAUUUUUUUUAAUUCAUUUUUGUUGUUGACACUGAGUUUUCUUGUUUCACUUCUCCUUCCUAUUAAUUUCACUCUUUAGUUCCCACGUGUUAGAAAGUGCAGUUUCAUUUAGACUCUUGAGAGAAGAAAGUCUGAUUCCAGAGAGCAAUUUGCAGCAAUAUAUUUUCCUUGCCGCUCACACAAAAACAUCACUACUCCAACAGAUAUAGGUAUAAACAAUGCUGACAGGCCCUCAAAACCAAAAUCAGUUUGUGAAAUUGAGGCAAAUAGCCCAGAGAACCCGAAAUAUUCUGGUUUCUAAAAUGCUGUCUGCUGUCAAAAAUGGGGUAAAAUAAAGCUUUGUUUAUGUGUAGAGCAGAGUGUUUGUUGAUCGAGUUUCUAAGGUGAUGUAGCAGGAAAUGCUGUUCUUGGGGAAAAUGACAUGAACAAAGCAUGAAACCAUAAUUCAGCAGCUAUUUGUCAACUGAUAGCAGAAGAAAAAAAAGCAUAUUUAUAAAGUAGUGAGAGGUUUUCACUGAACUUUUUCUCUCCUUUGCUGGCAUACAUGAAGGCUUCUCACCUGCUCUGCUCCUGGAUAUAACUACUUGCAAGAGCACAGCUAAAUCAUUUAUCAGAAGGAAUGUUUCCAUCAAAUCCAAAUAUCUACACUGGCUGCUGUUUCUACGUCAUGUCACGGAUGAGAUUGAUGCUCAAGCAAGGUUAUAAUGUACCUGCAUUUUCUCCAGAUUGGUGCCAAGCUUGCUGAGUCAUUUUCCCUGUUCCCAUUCUGCAGCCGGCUGCUUGCUCGCUAUUCCCUGUUAUUUGUGUGGGUCGUAAGCUCAGCAACAGAUGAGAAUAAAUGCUAAUAUUUCUUUAGGCUGCCUCCCUAAGGAAAUAAAGGUUCUGCUGCGUUGCUUUUCUGUGCAGCUGAUCUCGCUGGGAGCAGCCACCGGAGGGGGGACACCGCGACGCUGCACGUACCAAACGCGCUCAUCUCCAUUGCAAUUAGUUUGAUGCAACAAACAGCUCCAGCAUGACAAACUCCAGGCUAAAAAAAGCCAGGACUUCAUCUGCAUAAACUGGAUGCACCAAGUAUGUAUUGUGUGUCACCUCCCUUAUGUCCCACAUUUGUUCCUGCAGCAAAUGGCAUAUGCUCCAGCAAUACCACGUGGUCCAACCGGACUCCUGGAAAUACAGCAGGGAUCUGAUGCUGGUAGUCCUUGAAAUUAAGACAUUAGUUGUCAUCAUGCUUACGGACCUCUUCUGGAAGAAGGUUUUUGCAUUUAAAUUAAGAUUCAUUAUCCUCUGAUGAAUAAUCUAUAAAAUUGGAGCCAGCCUCCGCGUCCAUGACCAAGUUAUUAUUUUUGGUUUAGCUCUUAGACACCAGCUGAGACCAGGGGCCUCGUUCUCCUGGCCACUGUGUAGUCACACCCAAGGAGAUAACUUCUGCCUUGAAGAGCUUGCAAAGCAGAACAACAAAAGAGUGAGCAAUAUAACACUCAGGCAGAGCAAACACGGUGACCUUUUGCAAAUGUCAAGUUAAUACCAUGAUCUGGAAGUGGAAGGGGCUUAUCAGAGGGUGGGUGGGUCAAUGAGGAUGGGACACACUUCGGGGGGGGGUGGGAAUGAGAUGAAGGAAAAGACGCAGCAGAAGCUGUGUGGUGUGAGAUGCAGAGGAAGCACAUGCAGAGCAUUCUGUGGUCAAUUGGCACAUCCAGGGUAAAAACAGGGGGGAAGAGUCUGAUGAGCCUGGCCACAGCUCACAGAAUAACCAGCUCCCCAAAGUCUGACAUCCUGGAGAGGGGAGGUGGAGAGGGCAGGGGUGGACAGAGCAGUUCCUCCUACACGCUGGUUCCGCACAGGCAGCUGGAGGUGUGAUAACCCUGUUUUGGGGCUGUUUCUCUCCGUGGCUCAGCCUCCUGCAGCUGUGUUUGCUGCAGCUGAGCCUCGGGACUGGAGUGAGACGUGGUUCAGCUCUAAGCUGCUCUAAGUCCAUGGCAGCACAUAAUUGAAUAUUAACAGGAACAGCUCUAGGAGCUGCUGGGGCUCAGGAAGUCACAAUUCCUUCUCCGCUGCUCCUUCGCCUUCGUGGGAGGUGAUUGCUGGAGGCCUUAAUGGAUGUGAGAUAUGUUUCCCUCACAUUAGCCCCAGUUAGCAAACUGAGGCUUUAACCACAUCCUACCCUCUCUGAUCAUUUCCUCAUCCACCUCUUCAGCAGCAUGAGAAGUGCAGUAGCUGAGCCACCCCAGCGACCGAGCAGAGAGGUGCAGAGGCUGUAGGAACAUUGAUUUCACACCUCAUCUGCCCAGUGAAGGAAAGGGUCCCACCUUUAAGGAGCAUCGAAUUUGCCAAGUAUACGUUAUUGAAUUCUUGGUCUCUGUAUCAUCCUCCUGGAAACAGGAAUUAUUUAGUUGCUGGAUAGGGAUCAGCAUACAAUCAUGGCCGUGAGCAUCACACAAGAUCCAUGAAGUGAUAUUUAAGUUGAAAACCUUUGGUACCAUGCCUUUGUUAAAUAUUCAAUAUAAAAUACAGCAGCAAAUUCAUAGGCAUGAGGGUCUCUCCAUACUGCCUGACCAGCUGAACUGACUAGUUGCCCUCUCUAAAAAUAUAGAUGGAUAUCUUUCCCUCCUCAAAUUCAUGCUGCACAUCUAUACUGAGAAGUUCAGUCCAGUCAUGCUACUUUUAUGGCGGAAGUAAGUGCUUUGCAAGAAGAAAGAUGCCCACAGAAACCCAUCCCUGCCAUCUGAUCAUUCAGAACUUGGUGCUAGUCUAAGAAGGAAGAAGGCAACAUGUUCAGAGUUCCAGAAAAUUCCCAAAGACCCUGAGGGCUAUGCUGCACAUCAGUCAAAAUCUAAAGUUCUUCUUCUUGUCUUUCUAGUCUCUUUUCUUUUUUUUCCCCCUCUCUUUUUUCUCACUUUAAAAUUCACAAUAUCCUUGAUGUAUCAUUUUCCUUCAGGUCUACCAGCACUUGUUCAUUACAUAAUUGCUUUCUUAAAAAAAAAAUGUUCCUAUAUCUCCUUUUUUUUUUUUUUUCAUUAGUUGAAGUACAAUGGACUCUACCAUGAGACUGCUCCUGGUUUUGUUUGAUUUCUCUUUCCCUUUAUCACUACCCAGAGACAUCCAGCAGAUUGUUUCAUAAUCUUCUUAGAGUUCAGAGAAAGUAUAUUUCUUCCAGAUAGGAAUAUAGCCUGCGAACGUCCUCCUCCUUUUUCCUCACCACCUGCUCCUCUUGAACAACACUUCUGGCAAACUUUAUCCAUGUAUUAUUCCUUUAUUCACAAAUUUGAUGUUCCUUUUUAGGGAAAAGUGAGGAGCACACUGUUUCCCUGACAUGCAAUGUGUGUUUUUGCACGGCUGCUUUGCCUUCCAGCACGCUCCCGAUUUUUUGGAGCCCUCGGGAGCGAGGACCUCAACACCACAUUCAUCCCUGGCAGCCACACGCUGUCUGUGGGAGGUCUGCAGAGAAGGAGGCUCUUCAUUCUGCUUGUGGUGCAUUAGGGAAGAGAAUUGGUGGAGCUCUGCAGUGCACAGGAGGAAGGAUUGCUUUUGUUAUUGGUCAGGGAAGCUCUGUGCUGCCUUUGGUAUCGCUGGCUUCCUGCUGACGUUGGAUAAUUAAUUAACACCAACGGAGUGUUUGAAGCUCUGCUAAAGUGCAAACACAGGAUUUGCGUCGAUAUUUCACAUUCUGGCCAGGCAUGGGGAAGAUGGAAGCACUGUUAUGCCUUGAGGAGACAGUCAUGGAACAGGGGAGAUGGAGAAAGAUCACGAAUUCUCCUCGGUGCCUUGAGCAGCAUCCAAACAUCUCUGAGAGAAGCUACUCAACAUCCAGGGAGGAAUUCUUACAAACCGAUUUAGAAAUUUUAAUUCACAUAAAUUUGCUUUGAAUUAGAAAGCUUUUGGGUUUAAUUUGUGGGGUUUUCUUCUUUCCCAGAAAUCCAGUAACAACAAUCUUUGCCAAUUUAUUUCUGUGGGACCCAGAACAACUGUCAAUAACCUUUUUAUAAGUCUCUGCUGCCUUAGAAGGCAGUUUUCAUCUUCUCACACGUUUUCUUCCCUUCUGGAAAAAGCAAAGAAGAUCCUCCAAUUUUUUUGAACCACGUAUAAUUCUCACUGCUUUCUCCAGCCCCUGUAUAAUUUGUCUAUGGCAUUCUUCUACCUUCUCCUAGCACAGCAUCCAAACCCACACCUGGUAUUUCCUUGUUAGAGUGGAAUCAUUGCUUCUAAUGUUUUACUCUUGUUCAAAUGCCCCAGAAUAAGAUUUGCCUUAUUUUGCAACAGCUGUGUCCUCUCCAGUGCCUCUUUCACAGCUCUUUUUUCCAUUGAAUGCCUGCUUGACCAGAGUUUUGCCACUUUGCAUUGACAAAUUUUGUUACUUUUUACUUUACUGAACGAAAUCUGGUUGAUUUUAUACUGUUACUCUGAUUUCCCAGCCACAUUUUGGAACACAUCCUCUGGAGUAUUUAUAUAAUCUUUAUUUUGUCAUCCAAAUAACUAAUGAAAAUAUUAGAAUCAGGUCCAGGAGCAAACCCUGAGGGAGCCCUUUUGGAAAACCUUCUAAAUCCAAAGGAAAGGAAUUAGUGAUUCUUGUGUGAAUACAUUCAUUUUCUGUUAAGUAUGUCUUAAGAUGAUUUGACAGAGAUCAUAGUUCCUGGUCAGCUUAUGGAAAUGUCAUGUGAAAUGGUGUUAAAAACCCUGCUUCUUUCAAAAUGCGUGACAUAUGCUCCAUCUUCCUUAUUCUACAACACAAUUGUUGGGUUCAAAGAUGGAAUCUGGAUGGUUUUAGCAUCACUCCUCUAUGACAAAUCCAGUCUGACUGACUGUAUGUUUUUCUAUUGUCAGUCAAAUGCUCACAAAGAGAUCGUUGCACAGUUUAUUGUAUUACAGUUUCUGCAUUACACGCUGAACUGGCUGCUGUGUAAUCCCCCAAGUCCUGCUUCCCCUUCUUUAAAGGCAGGCACUGUGUUUGCCCUUCUCCCCUCCUCUGGGAUCUCCUCCCUUCUCUCCUGGAUAAUUGCUAAUGAGUCAGAUUGCUCUGGCCAGUGCCUGAAGUGCUCUAGGGAGAACUUCAUCCAGUCCUGCUGACUUGAAUUUGCCUAACUUCUCUGAAUGAUUUUAGUGGUGUUUAUUUGCUCGUUUGGAUUGUCCUACUCUCUGCAGUAAAAGUGGUCCUGAUAAAUACCAGCUCAUAGUCUUUUUUUAAAAUAUUUUAUUUCUCUCCAUAGCUAAAGCAUAAAAACUAAUGAAUGCUCCAGUCUUUUCUCUAUUGUUAUUUCUGUUCUCUCAUUUUCCAUUAAUUCAGUUAUGUAUAAUUUCCAUUGCCUUCCUGCUAUUUCAAUACCUUUGCAGAGCACCCUUUUAUCACCCUCUAUAUCCCUUCCUAAUUGAAACUCAUUUUGCCCCUGGUCUUUCUCAUUUUAGUCCUCCACAGUCACACUAUUCUUUUACAGACAAAAUUUUCCUGGUCUUGUUUCCCACCUUUGUACAGCUUGAUGUUCAUCCUCCCUUUUCUGCUUCCCUCACUCCUUCCUUUCCUUGGAGGAAGAUGUUCCAUCAUUUUCUUAUCUCUCUCAACUUAAUUAACCCCCACCUUCCUGUCCUCAGCAAUCUCCUCCCUGUUUGUCAGUCCAGUCCCAGAGAGCUCCAAUGUCCCACAGGAACUUUGCUCCAUCCUUUGCACUUCUGUUGCCUCCAAACACAGUUUCACACCCUCCUGCUGGGCUUGCAAGGCAGUUUUUGUACAGAACUUUGCAGAGCACCCUUGGCUCGUUUGCCACAUAGGACACCAUUAUUCAUUUCACUCCAUUAUUGCAGAUCUAAUUAAUAAUGAGUUUGUCUCUUAGACCCAUGCUCACCUCUGCAAUAUGCCAGUCUUUGCCCUGUCUUUUUUUUCCAUCCAGAAGGAUUGGAAAAGGACAUUUCCCAUCCCCUCAUCUCUUUCCCUCUUCUUCCCAGGGCAUGCAUUUAGAGCUAGGAGGCUUCAUUAAAACCCUUUUUAGGGUGGUGGAUGAGGAUGAUGCUCCUGCAAGCCCUACAGAGAUCACCUGCCUGCUGAAGUUCCCCUCUGCAGCUCAGUGUGAGAACAAGCUGGCUUUUAGGAAAGGCAAUUAAGGGGUCUGAGUGUACCAUUCAUUGAAGCAUCCCUUUACCCUUUCAGAUUUUAUAGUGUCCAACACAGAGAUGGCUUUCUUUUUUUUCCCCACCAAAAAUUGUGCUGCUAUCUUUUAAUAAAUCAGACAACAAACCCAGGCCUAUAUGAGAUGUAUUAAAUUAAAUCCCCAGCUCUCUGGGUCACUCUUCUUCAUAAAAUGAUUACAUCUCUCAACAAGGAAGAACACAAACCUGCAAGGUCACAGAGACCUGCAGUUCCACGUAGAUCCACCUGCCCCUUCUUUCUCAUUAACUGCACACAGCUGACUCUUGCUCAAGGCUUUCCUUAGGCUCUCCAGGCUCAUGGGCACUCUCCACCGAGCAGGUCCAAGGGCUGAGGCAGCAUUUAGGCUGGGUGAAUAUAUCUGCCCACUUCUAUUUUGGCAGAGAGCACUAAACAAACAGCUCUCAGAGGGGUACUGGUGAAGCUGGGCAUUUCUCCACACUGGAGGCAGCCCUGGGCUCACAGAGAGCACUUGGUGGGACCCAGAAGAGUAGAGGUUAUUGAGAUAAAAAGGCUUAUUGCUGUCAUUACCUGUCUAUGAGAGAUUAUUGAAAAGACAACACCAGAUUUUGUUUGAAGUUGUACAGUGAUAGGACAAGAGAAAAUCAACGUAAGUGGCAGAAAAUGAUGUUAAAACUAGAUAUUAGGAGGGGAGAAAAAAUGCAACUAAAGUAGUUAACAACUAGAACAGGAGUCCAGAGAGCUUUUAGGAUCUCAAUCCUCCCCUUUCCCAGGGAAAGGCUCUGGGAAAUCUGAUGGAAGGGCGUGAGAGAGGAGCCUGGAGAUCCCUGAAGGUCUUUCCCUCCCCAAAUCUCUGUGAUGCUGAAAUCCUGUAUGGGUGGGUCUGGGGCAGUCCUAUUGCUGUCCUGCUCAUUCCAGCUGAUUGCCAAGAAAAUUACUGUCCCAGUGUGUUGGUUCUGUUUUGCAUAAAUUUGUAAGGAUAGUCUGUGCAGUAUCCAAAGACUGUAUAAUAGGAAAAUCCCAGGUAAUUACAAAUUCAUUGGUUUAAACCUGAUCCCAAACAGCAUCAAAGAAAAUCUGAUAUAGGCUGUGAUUAGUAAUGAAUUAAAGGAUGCUAACCUGAUUGAUAUGCCUGAGCAGUUUUAUGGAAAGUCUGUCAUGUCAAACAAAUGAAUGUUUUUUUAAUGAGAAUGUAAGUUUGGUUAAUAAAGAUAAGCCUGUUAUAAAUUACUUAGAU